UACGGAGGGUGCAAGCGUUAAUCGGAAUUACUGGGCGUAAAGCGCACGCAGGCGGUCUGUUAAGUCAGAUGUGAAAUCCCCGGGCUUAACCUGGGAACUGCAUUUGAAACUGGCAGGCUUGAGUCUUGCAGAGGGGGGUAGAAUUCCAGGUGUAGCAGUGAAAUGCGUAGAGAUCUGGAGGAAUACCGGUGGCGAAGGCAGCCCCCUGGACAAAGACUGACGCUCAGGUACGAAAGCGUGGGGAGCAAACAGG
rnacentral:rRNA from 1 species